AUAAAGCGGGUGAAAAGCCCGCUCGCCGGAAGACCAAGGGUUCCUGUCCAACGUUAAUCGGGGCAGGGUGAGUCGACCCCUAAGGCGAGGCCGAAAGGCGUAGUCGAUGGGAAACAGGUUAAUAUUCCUGUACUUGGUGUUACUGCGAAGGGGGGACGGAGAAGGCUAUGUUAGCCGGGCGACGGUUGUCCCGGUUUAAGCAUGUAGGCUGGUUAUCCAGGCAAAUCCGGAUAAUCAAGGCUGAGGUGUGAUGACGAGGCACUACGGUGCUGAAGUAACAAAUGCCCUGCUUCCAGGAAAAGCCUCUAAGCAUCAGGUAACAUCAAAUCGUACCCCAAACCGACACAGGUGGUCAGGUAGAGAAUACCAAGGCGCUUGAGAGAACUCGGGUGAAGGAACUAGGCAAAAUGGUGCCGUAACUUCGGGAGAAGGCACGCUGGUGUGUAGGUGAAGCCCCUGCGGGUGGAGCUGAGACCAGUCGAAGAUACCAGCUGGCUGCAACUGUUUAUUAAAAACACAGCACUGUGCAAACACGAAAGUGGACGUAUACGGUGUGACGCCUGCCCGGUGCCGGAAGGUUAAUUGAUGGGGUUAUCCGUAAGGAGAAGCUCUUGAUCGAAGCCCCGGUAAACGGCGGCCGUAACUAUAACGGUCCUAAGGUAGCGAAAUUCCUUGUCGGGUAAGUUCCGACCUGCACGAAUGGCGUAAUGAUGGCCAGGCUGUCUCCACCCGAGACUCAGUGAAAUUGAACUCGCUGUGAAGAUGCAGUGUACCCGCGGCAAGACGGAAAGACCCCGUGAACCUUUACUAUAGCUUGACACUGAACAUUGAGCCUUGAUGUGUAGGAUAGGUGGGAGGCUUUGAAGCGUGGACGCCAGUCUGCGUGGAGCCAACCUUGAAAUACCACCCUUUAAUGUUUGAUGUUCUAACGUUGGCCCCUGACCGGGGUUGCGGACAGUGUCUGGUGGGUAGUUUGACUGGGGCGGUCUCCUCCCAAAGCGUAACGGAGGAGCACGAAGGUUAGCUAAUCCUGGUCGGACAUCAGGAGGUUAGUGCAAUGGCAUAAGCUAGCUUGACUGCGAGCGUGACGGCGCGAGCAGGUGCGAAAGCAGGUCAUAGUGAUCCGGUGGUUCUGAAUGGAAGGGCCAUCGCUCAACGGAUAAAAGGUACUCCGGGGAUAACAGGCUGAUACCGCCCAAGAGUUCAUAUCGACGGCGGUGUUUGGCACCUCGAUGUCGGCUCAUCACAUCCUGGGGCUGAAGUAGGUCCCAAGGGUAUGGCUGUUCGCCAUUUAAAGUGGUACGCGAGCUGGGUUUAGAACGUCGUGAGACAGUUCGGUCCCUAUCUGCCGUGGGCGCUGGAGAAUUGAGGGGGGCUGCUCCUAGUACGAGAGGACCGGAGUGGACGCAUCACUGGUGUUCGGGUUGUCAUGCCAAUGGCACUGCCCGGUAGCUAAAUGCGGAAGAGAUAAGUGCUGAAAGCAUCUAAGCACGAAACUUGCCCCGAGAUGAGUUCUCCCUGAGACUUUAAGUCUCCUGAAGGAACGUUGAAGACGACGACGUUGAUAGGCCGGGUGUGUAAGCGCAGCGAUGCGUUGAGCUAACCGGUACUAAUGAACCGUGAGGCUUAACCUU
rnacentral:rRNA from 1 species